CUUAAACCACAUUGUUUCUUUAACCUUCUGUGUUGUUGCCUACAACACUUCAGUUAGAGGACUGGGAAAUAGCAAACAGGGGAAAAAGGCAUGACUUAUUUUGCAUACAGCUAGCCAAACCUGUUGAAACUGUUGUCAUAGCCAAUGCUUUUUAUUGGAACAGAAAACAGCAAGGGUCCAUAGAAAAAUACAGUUGGAAGUUUUUUUUUUCCACCAAGGCAGCUCAAGAAGGUUGGACACACAAGUACAGUGGCUCUUUUGGCCCAAGGCCAAGCCAACAUCAAAGUUAGUUCACUAACUUUACAUUCUAGUUAUGUUGGCUUGGCACAAGCCAACAUACUGUUAUGCUAUUUAAACUUCUUAUUAUUAUUAUGUUGGCUUGGCACAAGCCAACAUACUGUUAUGCUAUUUAAACUUCUUCUUAUUAUUAUUAUUAUUAUUUUUAUUAUUAUUAUUCUUCUGAUCCUAAAAUUCCAAACGCUACUCCUCCUAGGGCUUUAAAGCCACAAG
ensembl:lncRNA